GGGCGUAAGGGCUCGCAGGCGGUUUCUUAAGUCUGAUGUGAAAGCCCCCGGCUCAACCGGGGAGGGUCAUUGGAAACUGGGGAACUUGAGUGCAGAAGAGGAGAGUGGAAUUCCACGUGUAGCGGUGAAAUGCGUAGAGAUGUGGAGGAACACCAGUGGCGAAGGCGACUCUCUGGUCUGUAACUGACGCUGAGGAGCGAAAGCGUGGGGAGCGAACAGGAUUAGAUACCCUGGUAGUCCACGCCGUAAACGAUGAGUGCUAAGUGUUAGGGGGUUUCCGCCCCUUAGUGCUGCAGCUAACGCAUUAAGCACUCCGCCUGGGGAGUACGGUCGCAAGACUGAAACUCAAAGGAAUUGACGGGGGCCCGCACAAGCGGUGGAGCAUGUGGUUUAAUUCGAAGCAACGCGAAGAACCUUACCAGGUCUUGACAUCCUCUGACGAUCCUAGAGAUAGGACGUCCCCUUCGGGGGCAGAGUGACAGGUGGUGCAUGGUUGUCGUCAGCUCGUGUCGUGAGAUGUUGGGUUAAGUCCCGCAACGAGCGCAACCCUUGAUCUUAGUUGCCAGCAUUCAGUUGGGCACUCUAAGGUGACUGCCGGUGACAAACCGGAGGAAGGUGGGGAUGACGUCAAAUCAUCAUGCCCCUUAUGACCUGGGCUACACACGUGCUACAAUGGACAGAACAAAGGGCAGCGAAACCGCGAGGUUAAGCCAAUCCCACAAAUCUGUUCUCAGUUCGGAUCGCAGUCUGCAACUCGACUGCGUGAAGCUGGAAUCGCUAGUAAUCGCGGAUCAGCAUGCCGCGGUGAAUACGUUCCC
rnacentral:rRNA from 1 species